rnacentral:rRNA from 1 species
CCUACGGGAGGCAGCAGUGAGGAAUAUUGGUCAAUGGGAGAGAUCCUGAACCAGCCAAGUCGCGUGAGGGAAGACGGCCCUAUGGGUUGUAAACCUCUUUUGUCGGAGAACAAAACCCGGGACGUGUCCCGGACUGCGUGUAUCCGAAGAAAAAGCAUCGGCUAACUCCGUGCCAGCAGCCGCGGUAAUACGGAGGAUGCGAGCGUUAACCGGAUUUAUUGGGUUUAAAGGGUGGGUAGGCGGUCCGUUAAGUCAGCGGUAAAAUUGCGGGGCUCAACCCCGUCGAGCCGUUGAAACUGGCAGACUGGAGUUGGCUAGAGGUACGCGGAAUGCGCGGUGUAGCGGUGAAAUGCAUAGAUAUCGCGCAGAACUCCGAUUGCGAAGGCAGCGUACCGGCGCCAGACUGACGCUGAGGCACGAAAGCGUGGGGAUCGAACAGGAUUAGAUACCCCAGUAGUC